GAUGAACGCUGGCGGCGUGCCUAAUACAUGCAAGUCGAGCGAACGGACGAGAAGCUUGCUUCUCUGAUGUUAGCGGCGGACGGGUGAGUAACACGUGGAUAACCUACCUAUAAGACUGGGAUAACUUCGGGAAACCGUAGCUAAUACCGGAUAAUAUUUUGAACCGCAUGGUUCAAAAGUGAAAGACGGCCUUGCUGUCACUUAUAGAUGGAUCCGCGCUGCAUUAGCUAGUUGGUAAGGUAACGGCUUACCAAGGCAACGAUGCAUAGCCGACCUGAGAGGGUGAUCGGCCACACUGGAACUGAGACACGGUCCAGACUCCUACGGGAGGCAUCAGUAGGGAAUCUUCCGCAAUGGGCGAAAGCCUGACGGAGCAACGCCGCGUGAGUGAUGAAGGUCUUCGGAUCGUAAAACUCUGUUAUUAGGGAAGAACAUAUGUGUAAGUAACUGUGCACAUCUUGACGGUACCUAAUCAGAAAGCCACGGCUAACUACGUG
rnacentral:rRNA from 1 species